rnacentral:rRNA from 1 species
UACGUAGGGUCCAAGCGUUAUCCGGAAUUACUGGGCGUAAAGAGUUGCGUAGGUGGCAUGGAAAGCGAAUAGUGAAAGCGUGUGGCUCAACCAUACAUCCAUUAUUUGAACUCCCAAGCUAGAAGAUGAGAGAGGUAGAUGGAAUUCCUGAUGUAGGGGUAAUAUCCGUAGAUAUCAGGAGGAACACCGAUGGCGUAGGCAGUCUACUGGCUCAUUCUUGACACUAAGGCACGAAAGCGUGGGGAGCGAACGGG